CCUACGGGGGGCAGCAGUGAGGAAUAUUGGUCAAUGGACGAGAGUCUGAACCAGCCAAGUAGCGUGAAGGAUGACUGCCCUAUGGGUUAUAAACUUCUUUUAUAUGGGAAUAACAUGUUCCACGUGUGGGAUUUUGUAUGUACCAUAUGAAUAAGGAUCGGCUAACUCCGUGCCAGCAGCCGCGGUAAUACGGAGGAUCCGAGCGUUAUCCGGAUUUAUUGGGUUUAAAGGGAGCGUAGGUGGAUUGUUAAGUCAGUUGUGAAAGUUUGCGGCUCAACCGUAAAAUUGCAGUUGAAACUGGCAGUCUUGAGUACAGUAGAGGUGGGCGGAAUUCGUGGGGUAGCGGUGAAAUGCUUAGAUAUCACGAAGAACUCCGAUUGCGAAGGCAGCUCACUGGACUGCAACUGACACUGAGGCUCGAAAGUGUGGGGAUCAAACAGGAUUAGAUACCCCUGUAGUC
rnacentral:rRNA from 1 species